rnacentral:ncRNA from 1 species
UAAAGCUCUUCAUGUGACGGUUCCCCGCGCGCCAGGCGCAACGGGAUCAAAAGGGAACACGGUGCGGCGUACCCAUCAGGGACCAAGACCGUGGCUGCCCCCGCAACUGUAAGCGGCGGGCGCUCUCGAAAGCCACUGCGCAUCCUUUGAGAGCGCGGGAAGGUGAGAGCGCUGCAUUCGCCGCGAGCCAGGAGACCUGCCGGCACAUCGGGGCACCA